rnacentral:snRNA from 1 species
AUCUUUGCGCUUGGGGCAAUGACGCAGCUAGUGAGGUUCUAACCGAGGCGCGUCUAUUGCUGGUUGAAAACUAUUUCCAAACCCCCUCUUAGGCCUGGGCUUGCCCUAGGCCUUCGAGAAUUUCUGGAAGGGCUCCCUUCGGGGUAAAGUCCUACAAUUCUUAGCC